CCUACGGGGUGCAGCAGUGGGGAAUAUUGCACAAUGGGGGAAACCCUGAUGCAGCGACGCCGCGUGAGUGAAGAAGUAUUUCGGUACGUAAAGCUCUAUCAGCAGGGAAGAAAAUGACGGUACCUGACUAAGAAGCCCCGGCUAACUACGUGCCAGCAGCCGCGGUAAUACGUAGGGGGCAAGCGUUAUCCGGAUUUACUGGGUGUAAAGGGGGCGCAGGCGGCCUUGCAAGUCUGAUGUGAAAUACCGGGGCUCAACCCCGGAGCUGCAUUGGAAACUGUGAGGCUGGAGUGUCGGAGAGGCAGGCGGAAUUCCUAGUGUAGCGGUGAAAUGCGUAGAUAUUAGGAGGAACACCAGUGGCGAAGGCGGCCUGCUGGACGAUGACUGACGCUGAGGCUCGAAAGCGUGGGGAGCAAACAGGAUUAGAUACCCCUGUAGUC
rnacentral:rRNA from 1 species